AGUGAACGCUGGCGGUAGGCCUAACACAUGCCAGUCGAACGGCAGCACAGUAAGAGCUUGCUCUUACGGGUGGCGAGUGGCGGACGGGUGAGGAAUACAUCGGAAUCUACUUUUUCGUGGGGGAUAACGCAGGGAAACUUACGCUAAUACCGCAUACGACCUACGGGUGAAAGCAGGGGAUCUUCGGACCUUGCGCGAUUGAAUGAGCCGAUGUCGGAUUAGCUAGUUGGCGGGGUAAAGGCCCACCAAGGCGACGAUCCGUAGCUGGACUGAGAGGAUGAUCAGCCACACUGGAACUGAGACACGGACAAGACUCCUACGGGAGGCAGCAGUGGGGAAUAUUGGACAAUGGGCGCAAGCCUGAUCCAGCCAUACCGCGUGGGUGAAGAAGGCCUUCGGGUUGUAAAGCCCUUUUGUUGGGAAAGAAAAGCAGCAGGUUAAGACCCCGCUGUUCUGACGGUACCCAAAGAAUAAGCACCGGCUAACUUCGUG
rnacentral:rRNA from 1 species